CCUUCAACAUUAUCAUCUUCUUCUUCAAUAGCUUCAAUCUCAUCUUCAUCAUCUUCAAAAGGAACAUCCAGAUUUCCUUCCAUUUUUAUGCAUUUUGAAUGAAUUGGAUCUGCCAUGCCAGUAUUUAAAUUUUCUAAAGACUGAAAGUUUAAAGAAAUCUUAAAAGCAAAACCAUUGACAGUGUCGUAUCUUUUUCACCAAACACAAAAGAAGUAUUAUUAACAGAACCUACAAUUUUGUUCAAAGCUGGCAGAUGUGCAACCAAUACCACAAAAGAACAUGUGUGCUCUAGUUUAAAUAUGUGCUCAAGAAUGGUUUCUAAGGCAUAAGGCCAAAGAUGGAAUACUUCCAGCAUAAACAGAGUUCGUUAAUAGCAUAUCAUGAAAUGCCUGUGGGGAAAGUUAUCAAAAUUCUGAAUAAAAUUUGAAUUUAAAACUGUUUUUUCUUUAUCAUACUUCAGUAUUUUCAAUUGCCAAGAGGCCUGGAAAAGAAAAAGAGUGAUUCUCCUGCUGAUUCUUUAUUCAAGUCAACAAAUAUACUUAGAAAACAUUUUGAAAAUACAGCUCUCUCAUAUUGCACCCAAACUGCCUUCUAAGAGAGUCACUAUACAAUGAGAUUUGCAAGUGACAUCAUUAAGAAAUUUUUCCUGAGCCUGCUGUUCCAAAAUCUGGAGUUCGUGUUCUGUUAUAUCUAAUGACAUCAAACAAAUUCUUUCUGUGUUCGUUUUCAAUUUAUUGCCAACUUCUAAUCCAUCUUCAAGUCCAUCUUCUUUUUGUUUCACUUUGUUUUGAGGUUCGGUUCCUUCAUCAUGUUUAAUUAAAUUAUCAAAUGUUGUGUCCCAAGUCUCAUCUUUAACUUUAGGAAAAAAUUUAUGUUCUCUAAUUUGUUUCUGCUGUACUUCAUCAGCAGUUGGAUCUCCCAAUGAUAAUAAGUGAACAUUAGUGCUGUGCCUCAAUUCGGCCUCAGGAGAACCAAUUAUCAUCUUCCUCAAUGAAUACAGAUUUUCUGAAAUAGCACUUAAUAGUAGAGAAACCCUAAAAAAAAUUAAGAAAGUAUAAUUCAACUUUAACUUCAAUCAGUAUCAGCACAAUUGUAAUGCUUUUUAAUAAGUACAAGCUUUCUAAAUUGAUCUUCAUUUAAAGGACACAUUGGAUUAAAGUUAUUCUUCAUUCCCUAAUAGUCACCAUAUGCUUUCAACUAUGGUUCACUCUCCAGUACAGCAAGGUACUUCUGCAUUCAACUUGUACACUUACUAAGCACACAUGCUUAUAUGCUUGUUGACUUGUAUGCUUAUUAAGUGUCAGCAGUGUUUGGUCCCAAACUAAUUCUUUAUGCCAGUUAUAUUUUUUGUGGUAAUUAAUUUAAUUAAAAGUAAGUCAAAUCAAUGAUACAUCACCACCUAAAAAAAUUUUUAAGUUGAACAUAUCAAAAGAUGCAGCAAAUUUCCUUAAAAAAAAAAAAAAAAGAUUCUGCCUGAUUAACUACAGCCAGAACAACUAUAAAAGUUUGUAGGAAAAAUCUUAAAAACUCCCAGGACUCUUCAUUCAGACUGUUUCCAGUGUUUUAAGUUUUCACUCCACUUUAAAAAAGCUAAAAUUAGAAAUUGCAAAUGAUACAUUACGGGUGUACUUUAAACAAGAACCACUCUGCAGAACUCCAAAGAGCAGUCCUAUAUUUAAUGAAAAAGCCAGGAUGAAUAUUGAAACAUUGGGAAACAAAUAUACACUAAUAUAUUAAGUUAAAAGAAAAUUUUUAUGAUCCUAUGUUUUAACUGAUUCAAUUUACUGAUCAAAUACUAGUCCCAACUGUAACACAUAAGAGUGCUUGUGUUAUCAUUUCAAAAUGAUGCUGUUGUGCAUGUCCAAUAAUCAUAAAACCAGACACAUUUCUCUAGAACAGUAAAAAAAAAAAAAUCAGUGUGCAAAUAUAACAAGAAAAUAUGGAGAAGUUGUACAUGAACAAACAUAAUAUGGAUUUCUUAAUUCCUUAAUUAUAAUUGCUCAUAUGACAUUUUAACUAAGUGACUUUAAACAGCUAUUUAUAACCAAACCUGAUUAACUGCAAAGGAAAACCACUGCUAGAGUAUAAAAUAAGGCACUGUAUCUGUUGGUUAUAGGGUUUAUUAAAGCAAUUUUUAGUUACCUCAUAAAAGCAAAGGUUAGAGAGAAAAAAGGGAAUAUAAGACAGUUUUCCUAUUUAACACUUUUGUUUAGCUCUUCUAAUUCUUCUGUAUU